UGGAUAUUCACCCAGCCUAAUGCUUUUGGCCACCUAACUUCCUCCACCCCAAAGGCAGGCCACCAAAAGAAGGUGGUUCUGGCACUUGUUGCCUGGCCCCAGCCUCAGUCUUGAACUCAUUCAUCUGGUUCCUCUUCACACCUGGCUUCCACUCCUCUUCUGAAUAUUUUAAUCUCCUUCCAAAAUUCUCAGCUGCUGACCAAUAGCUGGCACCUUUCUUCUUUAGGCAGAUUUGCAGGGGGGAAGGAGGAAGAGGGAACACUGAGAUAAUUAAUAGGAAACAUCAGUUAUCCAGAUUAAGUUGGGGAAAAAAUAAGAGUUAUUUCGAAGGAGGACCUGCACAUGUUGAUAAUGGAGUAAUGGAGAGAGUUGGAAGGAAUGACAGAGACAGUGUCAGUGAAUAUGAAAGGCAAGAUGGGAAGCUCCACAAAAGACACCUAGGAAAAAAAAAAAUCCUCCUUCCUGAUCAUAAGCUUUCACUUACUGACAAGAAGAAAGCCUGCCUGCUGAUGUCAGCAAAGCAACACUGGCCUCUGCUCCCACACUGUUCUGAGAUAUCGGAUCCAGGUCCUCUAUAUAAAAGUAAGUGGAACAGCCAAAGGAUUGUGUUUUACCUUAUAGAACCUUCCAUUUGAUUUCAAAGUCUGGAAGUAGGGCUUCCUUGAGCUUGGGAAAUUGUCGUGUGUGUGUUUUGUAAAGUAGCUAUCAGAAAAAAGCACUGCCGAUCAUUGAAGUUUAUUGGGUGUCCAAAAAAAGACUCAUUGCUGACAAGUACUCCAGGCAGCCAACUUCUUUUUUUUUUUUUUUUUUUUUUUUUUUUUUUUGGUGCACAGAUGACAUUAAACAGCCCCUGGACAUUCAGCACAUGAAGUGAAUUCAGAGUGAAGUUAGUUUGGGGAACACGUCUCAUAAACAUAUUUAUUAUUUAUGUAGUUUACAUAAAGUGAUUUCCCUGCCUUUAAACACCAUCUCGGAUGCAUGUGUAUAACAUAUAUGUGGCAAUUCAUCAUCUAUUCCCUUAGGAUAUCUUUGUAAUUGCUACCUUAGACCUUUAUUUAAAUUUUCU
rnacentral:lncRNA from 9 species